UCUCCCUUUCUUUUUUUCUUUCCUUCUUCGAACGAACGUUCGGCAUGUGCUGAGAAUAGGAUGGUUCCCCCCUUAUCCAGAGAGAAGAAGAAGAAGAAGGACGCAAGUUUGGCUUUACGGAAUUUCACUAGCAUUUUGUCUUUGAAGGAUACCAACGUGGAAGAACAAACGGGCGAGAACACGAAACAAUUACGAGCUCAGACGGUGCAGAAAGCGGUUUGGAUCGCCAAUGGAGCGUGAGGGGUAGCAGGUUUGGGGUGGUGGUGGUGGUGGUGGUCGUGAUGGUAGUGAUGGGAGUGGAGAAGAGAAGGAGGAAGAAGGAGAAUGAAAGGAAGGAAGAGAGCUGUGUUAGAGAGAUGAAGAGGAGAUUGGAAGGAGGAAUCGAGAGAUACUGGUGGUCGAACUAGAAAGAGAGAGAGAAAGAGAAAGAGAGAGAGAGAGGAAUAGGGAAGGAGAAGUUGUGAAACACAGUCAGUCUGGUGAAUCCUAUAGCACGGUAGGGUGAAGGUGGAUGGGCGUAGGGUGGGUGAAAACGCAGGCCGGCGUUUGCGCCGCCGGAGGGUGGAUGUGCUACCAAAGAGGGUCGGAGGUGGGGAGUUAGGUGGAGAAGAGAGAAAGAGAGUGAGAGAGAGAGAGAGAGAGAGAGAAGAGGGUGGGAGAGAGAGAGAGGGAAAGGCGUGGAAUUGGAGGAGGCAGUAGUAGUCAGUGGCUCGCCGCGCGCCACUACGAUCACCGUCGGACUUUGCGUUGAGAUUUUCCACUUGUUUCCCGUUAGACGAGUAGACAAAACGGAGCUAUUUAAUGGAUUUCUUCUAACGGGGAUAUUAAUGAAAUUUUUUUCUAUCUCACAUUAACUAAUACUAAAUUCUCCUUCGUUGUUCGUGUUCGAGGGAUAUGUUACGUGAUGAGUGAUAUUUGGAUUCGGAUUUAUGAUGAUUGGAUGUGCUGUGGAUAAUGAUCCGGAACUGUGCAGUGUGUUGUUUUGCAUAUUGGAUUCGGCUCGCGUCGUUCGACGCCCUCUCACCAUAUAUUUCGUUCGGGUUCGCUCGUUAAACGGGAAACGAGCGUGCAGGAUUCAGCACGCGAAUGCUAAUUCCCGUGGAGAAUAAUCGAAGAGCUGUGAAUUUCGUAGGAUAUUUCAAGCUAACUGUGUAUUCGUGUAUCCGUGUGUUCGUGUGUAAGGGAGAGAGAGAGAGAGAGAGAGAGAGAGAGAGAGAGAGAGAGAGAGAGAGAAAUAAAGAUCUAGAGAGAAAGAAAGAAAGAAAUGGUGAAAGUUCGAAGAAAUGGUGAAAAACGAUUUUCGAAAGGACAAAAAGAAGAAAGACGAUGAAACCAAAAGGUUUUAGUGUUCGACGAUCGUACGUACGGACCAUCGAGAAAGUGGUGUAUUUUAGACUUUAUUUAUUUAUUUAUUUAUUUAUUUAUUCGUUCGUUCGUUCGUUCGUUUAUUUUCCCAUCCAAUUUAUUGUGCGGUUGAAUUAGUGAAAUUGUGAUUACCAUUCUUCUCUCGGCGUUUCUUAGGAAUCAUCUCGGAUAGCCGACGAAGGAGGAUAUAAGAAUGAACGUGGAGACUGGAAAGUGAAGCUUUUUUCGAAAAAGUGGAGAAGAAGGGUUAACUUUUAUUCACUGAUUACGGAAUCCCUGGAGCAUCGAAGUGGACCAAGAAAAAAAGAAAGAAA